GACGUAGGGGGCCAGCGUUGCUCGGAAUUACUGGGCGUAAAGGGUUCGUAGGCGGUGUGGCAAGUCGGGCGUGAAAUCUCUGGGCUUAACUCAGAGGCUGCUUCCGAAACUGCCAUGCUUGAGUGCGGGAGAGGCGAGUGGAAUUACAGGUGUAGCGGUGAAAUGCGUAGAUAUCUGUAGGAACACCCGUGGCGAAGGCGGCUCGCUGGACCGCAACUGACGCUGAGGAACGAAAGCUAGGGGAGCAAACAGG
rnacentral:rRNA from 1 species